rnacentral:lncRNA from 1 species
GUCAAAAUGAAUUUCUAUCUUUGGUUUUUAAGGAGUCUCCAAUACUGAUUUCCAUAGUAGUUAUACUAGAUUACACUCUCAAAAUGUAAACAUUAGAAAACAAAGUGGGCCGGGGAUGCACCUCAGUGCAAAGGCCUUGGGUUCAAUCCCCAGCACCACACACUAAAUCAAUCCAUCAAAGUGCUUAGAACAGUGUUUGGCUGUACUAGGGCUCAAGGCCUCUAACAUUCGUGAUGAUGAAUUCUGACUACAGGACAAGGUGAGGGGAGACUGCAGGCAGCUGAGGGGCUGCCUGUCCCUGCAACAACCCCCGGCUCAGAGAGGCCUGUCAAUUCCGCAAGUGCGAGGCGCGGAUCUCGGUCUGUGUGAGACACGUGGCAAGAAGAAGGAACUGCCAGCGAACACAGUGACCUGAUUUCCUCAUGCGGUCUUUUCUCCAGCAUUAGACUGGAAGGACCCAGGGGAGGCACGUUCACUGUGCGAAUGUCAGCAGGACACAGUCAUUCUGGCCAAUUGUGGGAAGUCUCGUGACCUCUGUCCACUACCUGCCCUGCCCUGCAAAGCUACUGCUGGAGGAGCCUCUAGACUCAGCCUUGACAUUGUACAGAUCAGGAAGGGAAGCCCAGAGAGGGAAGGGACUCGCCAAGGUCACACGGCUGGUUAAAGGCAGAGCCUCGGUUAGGCAACA